rnacentral:tRNA from 1 species
ACUUAAAUAGCUUAUAUAAAAGAGUGUAAUUUUGAAGAAAUUAAGGAAGUUUAAAACUUUUAAGUA